ACGGCUCAGUAACACGUCGUUAAUCUGACCUUAAGCUCAGGAUACCCUUGGGAAACUGAGGCUAAUACCGAAUGAGAAAGAUAUUCUGGAAUGAAUUUUUUCUGAAAGGCAACACUUAAGGAUGAGACGGCGGCGGAUUAGGCAGUUGGCGGUGUAAUGGACCACCAAACCUUUGAUCCGUACGGGGAAUGAGAGUUCCAGCCCGGAGAGGGACACUGAGAUACUGGUCCCAGCCCUACGGGGUGCAGCAGGCGCGAAACCUUUACAAUGUGCGAAAGCGUGAUAAGGGAAUCCUAAGUGCUCAUGUUUUACAUGGGCUUUUGCCGAAGGCAAAUACUUCGGAGAAUAAGUGGUGGGUAAGACUGGUGCCAGCCGCCGCGGUGACCCCAGCGCCACAAGUGGGGAUCACUAUUAUUGGGUCUAAAGCGUUCGUAGCAGGUCUUGCAAAUUUCUUGUGAAAUUGUUGUGCUUAACACAACAGACUGCAGGGAAGACUACAAGACUUGGAAUUGGGAGACGUAAGCAGUAUUCUCGGGGGAGCGGUUAAAUGUUAUAAUCCCGAGAGGACUACCGAUGCCGAAGGGAGCUUACGAGUACAAAUUCGACUGUGAGGGACGAAAGCUAGGGGAGCGAAAAGGAUUAGAUAUCGAAAAUCUUGUAAACGAUUUUCGGACUUAGUCUCGCAAUUUGCUCAUACACUACAUUGCGAAAACUAUCUGAAGAUUUCAUCAAGAUUGCUCGACUAAAUACCCUUGUAGUCCUAGCCGUAAACACUGUCAGCUAGAUAUGACAUGAUCUUCGUGUUUGUGUCGUAUCGCAAUGAAGAUGCAAGCUGACCACCUGGGAAGUAUAGUCGCAAGGCCGAAACUUAAAGGAAUUGGCGGGGGAGCACAAU
rnacentral:rRNA from 1 species